ACAUAAGAGAUGGUUGUUUCUGGCUGCCCUGCUGCCUGUCAUGGCUGUCAGGCGAAAUCCCAUGAAUUAUUGCUCUUCCAGAUGUAAGAGAUUUUCAGGCUGCCUUAAACUGCCUGUGGUUUGUGGUACUGGAGAGGAGAGAAACGAGAUUAAACUUCAUCUCAUCAGUGCAAUCUGAAAAGAUCACACAGAGGACUAAUAAUCAGGGCUUUUUCAUUCCAGAGCCAGACUUGAGAGCUGUGUGUUUUUGUUUCAAGGUGAUGUCCCAUUAAGCUUGUUGGAAGACAGUGAUUAAGGUCAAACAAUAUUUGAGGAAGAU
rnacentral:lncRNA from 1 species